ACAAUGAUGGAACCCUACAAAUACCAUCCGCCAGGGAAUUACGAGCAUUAGUUUAAAACCCAAAGGACUUGGCGGUGCUUCAAACCCACCUAGAGGAGCCUGUCCUACAACCGAUAAUCCCCGUUUAACCUCACCACUCCUUGCCAAUACAGUUUAUAUACCACCGUCGCCAGCUUACCCCUUGAGGGUACUUAACAGUAAGCUAAAUGGGCUCACACCCAGCACGUCAGGUCGAGGUGUAGCGAACGCAGUGGGAAGAGAUGGGCUACAUUUUCUGAAACAGAAUACUACGAAAGGUGCCAUGAAACAAACACAAUUGAAGGUGGAUUUAGCAGUAAAAAGAAAGUAGAGAAUUCU
rnacentral:rRNA from 1 species